rnacentral:lncRNA from 1 species
AACAGCUCCAAAUAGCCUGGUGUCCUAUUUUUCCUCAGGGGAUGGAUACCUUAGCCACCUUCCCUGGCCUGGAAUGCAAAGAAUGCCACUUCAUUUGAGUGAAUAGAGAAUUCUUGGUAAAGGAAAACAAUCCGUCUCUCUCCGUCCCUCUUUCUCUCUCAUAAAUCAUAAAUCACAGACAAGAUGGAGGUCUUUCUGACAAUACCUAGAGAAAAAAAAAAGUCGUCUUUUAGAAUCACCCAAGCACAGGCCUGGCAGUGGAGUGUCUACCUCCAGGGCCCACAGACGACCUCCCACAACCAAGCUGACGGUGAGCCUGACCUUGAGAUCCCGCACAAGCACCUGGGGUCUCAAAGAGAAGAAAGGAAAAAAGCCUACGGGCACAGCAGCAAUGACUCGAUCCCCAGACUGUGCCCCUGUUUCUCCAAGGCUGCGCACCAAGUCAAGCAAGAGCAGAGCCAUGGCUGACGGGAACCAUCUAAGGAAGAGUCCCCACACAGGCGCUUCAGGCAGGCCUUGGACAGUGUCACAAAAUCACUGCCAGUUGACAAAUGCAGACUGUUGGCAGUAAGCAGGGACAUCAGCGUUGCCACUCACGGUUGGCGGGCAGCCCCAUUCUCAUCCACAGUAAACAUAUUCCUUUGUCACAGAAUUUCCAUAAGAAUGUACAGAGUACAUUUUUUAUGAUGAGUGUCCUAAAUUUGUUGUUGAAUAGACAUUUACAGAUUAUCUAUCAAAAAUCAAAGUUAAGAUGUUCACGUUUCAGG